rnacentral:rRNA from 1 species
UACGUAGGGGGCAAGCGUUGUCCGGAUUUAUUGGGCGUAAAGAGCGUGUAGGCGGCUUGGUAGGUCCGCUGUGAAAACUCGAGGCUCAACCUCGAGAUGUCGGCGGAAACCACUUGGCUAGAGUCCGGAAGAGGAGAGUGGAAUUCCUGGUGUAGCGGUGGAAUGCGCAGAUAUCAGGAGGAACACCAAUAGCGAAGGCAGCUCGCUGGGACGUUACUGACACUGAGGCGCGAAAGCGUGGGGAGCGAACAGG